rnacentral:ncRNA from 1 species
UGGAAACUACCAAGCUGGAGUACGGUAGGAGCAGAGGGAAUUUUCGGUGGAGCGGUGAAAUGCGUAGAGAUCGGAAAGAACACCAACGGCGAAAGCCCUCUGCUGGGUCGACACUGACACUGAGAGAUGAAAGCUAGGGGAGCAAAUGGGAUUAGAUACCCCAGUAGUCCUAGCCGUAAACGAUGGAUACUAGGCGCUGUGCGUAUCGACCCAUGCGGUGCUGUAGCUAAGGCGUUAAGUAUCCUGCAUGGGGAGUACGUUCCCAAGAAUGAAACUCAAAGGAAUUGACAGGGUCGCACACAAGAGGUGGAGCAUGUGGUUUAAUUUGAUGCAAAACGAAUAACCUUACCAGGGCUUGACAUGCUGCGAAUCCUCUUGAAAGAGGGGUGCCUUCGAGAAUGUGGACACAGAUGGUGCAUGGCUGUCAUCAGCUCAUGCCGUAAGGUCUUGGGUUAAGUCCCGCAACGAGCGCAACCCUCAUGUUUAGUUGCCAACCGUUGAGGUUGGAACCCUACGCAGACUGCUGGUGAUAAGCCGGAGGAAGGUGAAGAUGACGUCAAGUCAUCAUGCCCCUUAUGGCCUAGGUGACACACGUGCUACAAUGGCCAGGAUAAAGGGUCGUGAUCCCACGAGGGUGGGCUAGCUCCAAAAAUCCAUCCUCAGUUUAGAUUGUAGGCUGCAACUCGUCUGCAUGAAGUUGGAAUCGCUAGUAAUCACCGGUCAGCCAUACGAUGGUGAAUUCGUUCCCAGGCCUUGUACACACCGUCCGUCACACUAUGGAAGCUUGCCAUGCUCGAAGUCGUUACCUUAACCGCUAGGAGGGGAUGCCGAAGGCAGGACUAGUGACUGGAGUGAAGUCGUAACAAGAUAGCCGUAUUGGAAGGUGUGGUUGGAUCACCUCCUUU